CUCCCCCAUUAUAACCCAAGAGAGGGCCGUAUUCUAGCUCUUCUUCUUCACAAAAAAGAGACCUAAUAACAAAGAUAACACCCCCUUCCUAUCUCUAAAAGAGGGAACGACACUCUCAUCUUCAAGAGAGCCAUCCAUCAUCCCUAACAGAGGACAAAAAAAAUGGAGCAGCUUUAUUCCCUCCCGUAGAGAGAACAACAAAAAAAAUGGUGCCUCUCUCUCUCUCUCUGUCUACCUCCCCUUCGUCACUCUCACAAACAUCGACAAAAAUAGCUAGAGAAUAAGUGGGAGAUUCAAUAAUCCAAGAUCUAGAAAAAUCAAAAAAAAAAAGUAAUGAAGUUCUAGAAAAACAAAAUAAAGGAAGAACAAUAGAGUUUUGGUAUACUACUUCGGAUUUUUGAUUCAAACAGUUUAAAAUCGAACCAGAGUUGUUUGCUGCUGAUUUCGAACUCAUUUUCCUAGGUUUUGAAUUUUUCUUCCUCUAGUUCGGGGCUUGUUUUCUGUUGUUCAUCAUUGCUGAAAUUCAUCUUCUGUUCAGACCUAUAAUUGGUUUUUCAAUUGCUGUUUAGAUCCAGGUACCUCCACUCAGACUCAUCACGCUUAAGAUGAGGUGCUUGUAGAGACUCCGAGGUAUAUCUGCCACGUCUGCAGACUGAAGAGUCCCUUUCUACUCUCCCUUUUUAAGUAUUAGCCCUUCAGUAUUUUCUUUUCCUUUGUUAGAUACUCUGGAGUUAGAUACUUGUAGACAUCCAAAGGCAUGUGAUCAUGAGAUUAUGGGUUUUGUGAUGUAUUUAGAUUUCGAUAGAUGAUAUUAUGUAUGCCGAGCGAUACUUUUAAACACUAUUUUAUUUCACUAUUUCGUUUUAUUA